UACGGUUAAGUCACACUGAAAACACCGGUUUCCGUUCGAUCAUGGAAGUUAAGCAGCGUCAGUCCCGCUCAGUACUUAGAUGGGGGACCGCUUGGGAACACCGCGUACUGUAUG